rnacentral:tRNA from 1 species
GGCUAGGUAGUGUAGUGGUUAGCAUGACACGUCCGAAUGUGAAGGCAAGAGGUUCGAUUCCCUUCCGGUCCA